GACGAACGCUGGCGGCACGCUUAACACAUGCAAGUCGAACGGAAAGGCCUGCUUUCCCUUGUGGAUUGCGGGUACUCGAGUGGCGAACGGGUGAGUAACACGUGAGUGAUCUGCCCCCAACUUGGGUAUAAGCCUGGGAAACUGGGUCUAAUUCCCGAUAGGACUGCAGGGUGGUGCCUGUGGUGGAAAACGAUUUUCUAGUGGUUGGGGAUGAGCUCGCGGCCUAUCAGCUUGUUGGUGGGGUAAUGGCCUACCAAGGCGGCGACGGGUAGCCGGCCUGAGAGGGUGGACGGCCACAGUGGGACUGAGAUACGGCCCAGACUCCUACGGGAGGCAGCAGUGGGGAAUAUUGCACAAUGGGCGGAAGCCUGAUGCAGCGACGCCGCGUGGGGGAUGACGGCCUUCGGGUUGUAAACUCCUUUCGACCGCGAGGAAGCCACCUGGUUGGAAGGGUGGUGACGGUAGUGGUAGAAGAAGCACCGGCUAACUACGUG
rnacentral:rRNA from 1 species